GGGUGUGUAAAAUACCACCUGUUAGCAAGGGCCSGGGCAAGACCGGUGCCAGCCGSCCGCGGGUAACACCGGCGGCCCGAGUGGUGAUCGUGAUUAUUGGGUCUAAAGGGUCCGUAGCCGGUUUGGUCAGUCCUCCGGGAAAUCUGAUAGCUCAACUAUUAGGCUAUCGGGGGAUACUGCCAGGCUUGGAACCGGGAGAGGUAAGAGGUACUACAGGGGUAGGAGUGAAAUCUUGUAAUCCCUGUGGGACCACCUGUGGCGAAGGCGGCUAACUGGAACGAACCUGACGGUGAGGGACGAAAGCCAGGGGCGCGAACCGGAUUAGAUACCCGGGUAGUCCUGGCCGUAAACGAUGUGGACUUGGUGUUGGAAUGGCUUCGAGCUGCUCCAGUGCCGAAGGGAAGCUGUUAAGUCCACCGCCUGGGAAGUACGGUCGCAAGACUGAAACUUAAAGGAAUUGCGGGGGAGCAC
rnacentral:rRNA from 1 species